GUCGAGCGCGGGAAGCAAGCAGAUCUCCUUCGGGAGUGACGCUUGUGGAACGAGCGGCGGACGGGUGAGUAACACGUGGGCAACCUACCUGUAAGACUGGGAUAACUCCGGGAAACCGGGGCUAAUACCGGAUGAAACAAAGCGUCGCAUGACGCAAUGUUAAAAGGCGGCAUAUGCUGUCACUUACAGAUGGGCCCGCGGCGCAUUAGCUAGUUGGUGAGGUAAAGGCUCACCAAGGCAACGAUGCGUAGCCGACCUGAGAGGGUGAUCGGCCACACUGGGACUGAGACACGGCCCAGACUCCUACGGGAGGCAGCAGUAGGGAAUCUUCCGCAAUGGACGAAAGUCUGACGGAGCAACGCCGCGUGAGUGAUGAAGGUUUUCGGAUCGUAAAACUCUGUUGUUAGGGAAGAACAAGUGCCAUUCGAAUAGGUUGGCACCUUGACGGUACCUAACCAGAAAGCCCCGGCUAACUACGUGCCAGCAGCCGCGGUAAUACGUAAGGGGCAAGCGUUGUCCGGAAU
rnacentral:rRNA from 1 species